rnacentral:rRNA from 1 species
CACGUAGGGCGCAAGCGUUGUCCGGAAUUAUUGGGCGUAAAGAGCGUGUAGGCGGCCAGGUAGGUCUGCUGUGAAAACUCGAGGCUCAACCUCGAGACGUCGGCGGAAACCAUCUGGCUAGAGUCCGGAAGAGGCGAGUGGAAUUCCUGGUGUAGCGGUGGAAUGCGCAGAUAUCAGGAGGAACACCAAUAGCGAAGGCAGCUCGCUGGGACGGUAUUGACGCUAAGGCGCGAAAGCGUGGGGAGCAAACAGG